rnacentral:rRNA from 1 species
GAUGAACGCUGCCAGAAUGCUUAACACAUGCAAGUCAACUUGAACUUCGGUUUGGGUGGCGGACGGGUGAGUAACGCGUAAAGAACUUGCCUCACAGAUAGGGACAACAUUUGGAAACGAAUGCUAAUACCUGAUAUUAUGAUUUUAGGGCAUCCUAGGAUUAUGAAAGCUAUAUGCGCUGUGAGAGAGCUUUGCGUCCCAUUAGCUAGUUGGAGAGGUAACGGCUCACCAAGGCGAUGAUGGGUAGCCGGCCUGAGAGGGUGAUCGGCCACAAGGGGACUGAGACACGGCCCUUACUCCUACGGGAGGCAGCAGUGGGGAAUAUUGGACAAUGGACCAAGAGUCUGAUCCAGCAAUUCUGUGUGCACGAUGAAGUUUUUCGGAAUGUAAAGUGCUUUCAGUUGGGAAGAAAAAAAUGACGGUACCAACAGAAGAAGUGACGGCUAAAUACGUG